rnacentral:rRNA from 1 species
CCAAUAGCGUAUAUUAAAGUUGUUGCAGUUAAAAAGCUCGUAGUUGAAUUUCGGGGUUAGUAGGUUGGUCAUGCCUCUGGUAUGUACUGGUCUCACUGAUUCCUCCUUCCUGAUGAGCCGUAAUGCCAUUAAUUUGGUGUUGCGGGGAAUUUGGACUGUUACUUUGAAAAAAUUAGAGCGUUUAAAGCAAGCUAACGCUUGAAUACAUUAGCAUGGAAUAAUGAAAUAGGACGUUCGAUCCUAUUUUGUUGGUUUCUAGGAUUGACGUAAUGAUUAAUAGGGAUAGUUGGGGGCAUUAGUAUUCAAUUGUCAGAGGUGAAAUUCUUGGAUUUAUUGAAGACUAACUACUGCGAAAGCAUUUGCCAAGGAUGUUUUCAUUAAUCAAGAACGAAAGUUAGGGGAUCGAAGACGAUCAGAUACCGUCGUAGUCUUAACCAUAAACUAUGCCGACUAGGGAUCGGAUGAUGUUAAUUUUUUAAUGACUCAUUCGGCGCCUUACG